AUACGUAGGGGGCGAGCGUUGUCCGGAAUGAUUGGGCGUAAAGGGCGCGUAGGCGGCCCGGUAAGUCUGGAGUGAAAGUCCUGUUUUUAAGAUGGGAAUUGCUUUGGAUACUGUCGGGCUUGAGGGCAGGAGAGGUAAGUGGAAUUCCCAGUGUAGCGGUGAAAUGCGUAGAGAUUGGGAGGAACACCAGUGGCGAAGGCGACUUACUGGACUGUAACUGACGCUGAGGCGCGAAAGUGUGGGGAGCAAACAGGAUUAGAUACCCUGGUAGUCCACACUGUAAACGAUGAAUGCUAGGUGUAGGGGGUAUCGACCCCUUCUGUGCCGCAGUCAACACAAUAAGCAUUCCGCCUGGGGAGUACGGCCGCAAGGUUGAAACUCAAAUGAAUUGACGGGG
rnacentral:rRNA from 1 species